GUUCGUCAAAAUACUUGCAAAAACUGGACUAAAUGCAACCGCCAGAUUCCCAUACUCUGAGGGACUCUCAACAACAUGGCAUGUACAAAGAGAAAAAUCAAAGGUAAGCAAAGGGAUAUCAAAAGGGCAGAGCAGAUUUACCACAAGAUCUGGUUGUGACAGAACAGUUUUCAGCAGGAAGAGGUCCUCUUGUUUCAACUUUGUUCAACAGUGAUUGGGGCCUACCCCUGCGCUUUGCCGACUUCCGCCCC